CAGUAGAAUCAAGCCUGAGAGUG
rnacentral:piRNA from 1 species